GUACGCAGAUUUAGUAUACAUACAAUUUUGUCUGGAGCAAUUUUAACUUGACAUUUAAAAGUUUCCGACGUACGAUAAAUCGUCUCGAGAAAAGAUGAACACUGGUCGAAUUUUGAUUUUUGUGGCACUCGUUUUGGCCGUUGCGGCAAUCGAAGUCACUGCCAGACGCAACAUCAACUGCCAACGUGACUACGAUGGGGAAUGCGUGGCCGAUAGAAGCGUGGACUGCGAGGGGGGAAGAUCCCCAAAACUUUACGAUUCCGGAUGCACCCCUCCCCAAAGGUGCUGUGCAUACUGAGGGUGACGCAACCGAAUGCAGCCCCAAUUUGACCAAUGGAACGGAAGAUUUUCCUUUUAUAUCAGAAAUAUUUACACUUUGUUAUGUAAAAUUUCCCUCAAGUUUCUAAACAACAUUGUAAUAUAGGUAUUUUCUCUGAAUCAAAAUUUUCAUGUGUUUUACUGAAUAAAAAUAAAAAUGAUUGGACUUCUUUCAAUUACGAAA